AGAGGCCCUCCGUGGCCGGGGUAGAAUGCUUGUCUCAUCACUGCGGCAACGAAGCAAGCAUUCCGCCAGGCCACUCACGCUGCCUGC
rfam:Myotis lucifugus cont2.21627, whole genome shotgun sequence.